AGAGUUUGAUCAUGGCUCAGAUUGAACGCUGGCGGCAUGCUUUACACAUGCAAGUCGAACGGGCUGUUGGGGCAACCUGGCAGUCAGUGGCGGACGGGUGAGUAAUGCAUCGGAACGUGUCCCAUAGUGGGGGAUAACCCGGCGAAAGCCGGACUAAUACCGCAUAAGCUCUAUGGAGGAAAGCGGGGGACCUGAAAGGGCCUCGUGCUUUGGGAGCGGCCGAUGUCCGAUUAGCUUGUUGGUGGGGUAAUGGCCUACCAAGGCGACGAUCGGUAGCUGGUCUGAGAGGAUGAUCAGCCACACUGGGACUGAGACACGGCCCAGACUCCUACGGGAGGCAGCAGUGGGGAAUUUUGGACAAUGGGGGCAACCCUGAUCCAGCCAUGCCGCGUGCGGGAAGAAGGCCUUCGGGUUGUAAACCGCUUUUAGCCGGGAAGAAAAGGCACGGGUGAAUACCCCGUGUUCUUGACGGUACCGGCGGAAUAAGCACCGGCUAACUACGUGCCAGCAGCCGCGGUAAUACGUAGGGUGCGAGCGUUAAUCGGAAUUACUGGGCGUAAAGCGUGCGCAGGCGGUUCGCCGUGUCCUGUGUGAAAGCCCCGGGCUCAACCUGGGAAUGGCAUGGGAAACUGGCGGGCUGGAGUGUGGCAGAGGGGGGUGGAAUUCCGCGUGUAGCAGUGAAAUGCGUAGAGAUGCGGAG
rnacentral:rRNA from 1 species